UUUAGUGACUGAGUGGCGGACGGGUGAGUAACGCGUGGGUAACCUGCCUUAUACAGGGGGAUAACAGUUAGAAAUGACUGCUAAUACCGCAUAAGCGCACAGGAUUGCAUGAUCUGGUGUGAAAAACUCCGGUGGUAUAAGAUGGACCCGCGUCUGAUUAGCUGGUUGGUGAGGUAACGGCCCACCAAGGCGACGAUCAGUAGCCGACCUGAGAGGGUGACCGGCCACAUUGGGACUGAGACACGGCCCAAACUCCUACGGGAGGCAGCAGUGAGGGAUAUUGGGCAAUGGGGGAAACCCUGACCCAGCAACGCCGCGUGAGGGAUGACGGUUUUCGGAUUGUAAACCUCUGUCCUCUGUGAAGAUAGUGACGGUAGCAGAGGAGGAAGCUCCGGCUAACUACGUGCCAGCAGCCGCGGUAAUACGUAGGGAGCAAGCGUUGUCCGGAUUUACUGGGUGUAAAGGGUGCGUAGGCGGAUUGGCAAGUCAGAAGUGAAAUCCAUGGGCUUAACCCAUGAACUGCUUUUGAAACUGUUAGUCUUGAGUGAAGUAGAGGUAGGCGGAAUUCCCGGUGUAGCGGUGAAAUGCGUAGAGAUCGGGAGGAACACCAGUGGCGAAGGCGGCCUACUGGGCUUUAACUGACGCUGAGGCACGAAAGUGUGGGUAGCAAACAGGAUUAGAUACCCUGGUAGUCCACACUGUAAACGAUGAAUGCUAGGUGUAGGGGGUAUCGACCCCUUCUGUGCCGCAGUCAACACAAUAAGUAAUCCACCUGGGGAGUACGACCGCAAGGUUGAAACUCAAAGGAAUUGACGGGGGCCCGCACAAGCAGUGGAGUAUGUGGUUUAAUUCGAAGCAACGCGAAGAACCUUACCAGGUCUUGACAUCCGAUGCAUAGUGCAGAGAUGCAUGAAGUCCUUCGGGACAUCGAGACAGGUGGUGCAUGGUUGUCGUCAGCUCGUGUCGUGAGAUGUUGGGUUAAGUCCCGCAACGAGCGCAACCCUUAUUGCCAGUUACUACGCAAGAGGACUCUGGCGAGACUGCCGUUGACAAAACGGAGGAAGGUGGGGAUGACGUCAAAUCAUCAUGCCCUUUAUGACCUGGGCUACACACGUACUACAAUGGCGUUUAACAAAGAGAAGCAAGACCGCGAGGUGGAGCAAAACUCAAAAACAACGUCUCAGUUCAGAUUGCAGGCUGCAACUCGCCUGCAUGAAGUCGGAAUUGCUAGUAAUCGCGGAUCAGCAUGCCGCGGUGAAUACGUUCCCGGGCCUUGCACACACAGCCCGUCA
rnacentral:rRNA from 1 species